ACUGUUCUAGUUUAUUAUAAAUCGUUGUGUUGUGGUCACAAAGAAGGGCGAGUAGGCCGAGCGGUA
rnacentral:tRNA from 1 species